CUUGAGGAUGUGGGCUAGGUGUCCGGACUGUGGCCACGGUCGCGGGCUCUCAGAGCCGCGGGCCCAUCCCAUUUUUCUGAGACACGGUCUCUCAUUGGCCCGGUGCUCACCACGUUACCUAAACUGGCUGGCCAGAAGCCCCCGGGAGCUGUCUCCACCUCCCAGUGCUGGAUCGCAGUGAGAUGCAACGGCCAUCACCACCUGGAUUUCACUGUCCGCGGCUUCUGUCAGGCUCAAGCCACAGGCCAAAAACAUUCAGCAGAGCCAACAACCUCAACUCCUGUUCCCAAUGCCGCUGCUUACCAAGAUCCAAGCUGGGAGCUGGGAAGCCACCUGAAGAGGGACGGCAGAGGGUUAGUGACCACUGGGAACAUUCCGGCAGCAGCCAAGUUCUGUGACCUGCUAACACAGUUUAGCCAGCCCCCAGCCACACCAAGGAGCCUUUGCUCAUGUUCUUGGAGGUGAUGAGGUGCCGGGGUUCCACAGAGCUCUGCCCAGGGGCGGAGGACCAGCAAAUCAGUCCCGCGGCCACAGUGCUGGGUGGGUUACUGAGCAGCUGUAGAUGACAAACUGGGCUGGCACUGGCUUGUUUGUCCUCUCUGACUUCUGGCACCCCUGGCAGGCUCCAGAUGAGCCCUAGUGUAUUUCCUGUGACUCAGUCUCCCCUGUUCCCACACCACCGUGGCGAGUGGCGAGUGCCUCUGCCAGUGCCCUGUCCUCUUGCCUCAGUAAAGGGGGCCAGCGACACCCUGGGGUCCUGUCCUGGCAGAAGUGAGGAUAGUUGCCACUGGAAGACCCAGCUGACAGCCCAGAACCUGAGGUCAUUGUCCCAUGCUGUUCAUCCUCCUCCAGAGUCCCCACCACUUCCACGUUCUCCUUUCCAGGGAGCUAUGAGUAUCUAGCCACUGUGUCCGGCUUCAGCCCAAUGCCACCUCCUCAGGGAAGCCCACCCGAAACCCACGGCCUGAGUCAGCUCAUCACGUGGCCAUUUAAAUGAUGACUGUCAUUGUACUGUGUUUACUAUCCCACACCUGCUCCUCCUUCUACAUCUGAACCAGUACAUCACACAGGCUGAGUGCCUGCUGAAUGGACCAUGGUGAGGAGUGGAGAACGGACGGAGGGCAUGUUCCACCCUGCGGUCAGUUCCUGGAUCGAGGACUUACUGAGCACUGGCUAUGUGCUGGAACCUGGUCCAGACAUCUGGGUUACAUCAGGGAGCCAGAGAAUGGCUUUUGUUGUUUAUACUCUACAAGGUGAGGCAUGGAAUAAACAAGAAAAUAAAUCUUCCGGGUGGUGGGAGCUCAUGCCUGAAAUUCCAGAACUCCAGGAGACAGAGGCAGGU